rnacentral:rRNA from 1 species
AGUGAACGCUGGCGGUAGGCCUAACACAUGCAAGUCGAACGGCAGCACAGUAAGAGCUUGCUCUUACGGGUGGCGAGUGGCGGACGGGUGAGGAAUACAUCGGAAUCUACUUUUUCGUGGGGGAUAACGUAGGGAAACUUACGCUAAUACCGCAUACGACCUACGGGUGAAAGCAGGGGAUCUUCGGACCUUGCGCGAUUGAAUGAGCCGAUGUCGGGUUAGCUAGUUGGCGGGGUAAAGGCCCACCAAGGCGACGAGCCGUAGCUGGUCUGAGAGGAUGAGCAGCCGCAGUGGAAGGGAGACACGGUCCAGGCGCGUGCGGGAGGCAGCAGUGGGGAAUAGUGGACGAGGGGGGCGAGCGGGAUCCAGGCAUACCGGGUGGGUGAAGAAGGCCUUGGGGUUGUAAAGCCCGUGUGUUGGGAAAGAAAAGCAGCAGGUUAAUACCGCGCGGUUCUGACGGUACCCAAAGAAUAAGCACCGGCUAACUUCGUG